UACGGAGGGUGCAAGCGUUAUCCGGAUUCACUGGGUUUAAAGGGUGCGUAGGUGGGCAGGUAAGUCAGUGGUGAAAUCUCCGGGCUUAACUCGGAAACUGCCAUUGAUACUAUCUUUCUUGAAUACCGUGGAGGUCAGCGGAAUAUGUCAUGUAGCGGUGAAAUGCUUAGAUAUCAGGAGGAAUACCGGUGGCGAAAGCGACUCUCUGGACGGCAACUGACGCUGAGGCACGAAAGCGUGGGGAGCGAACGGG
rnacentral:rRNA from 1 species